rnacentral:rRNA from 1 species
CCUACGGGAGGCUGCAGUGAGGAAUAUUGGUCAAUGGACGAGAGUCUGAACCAGCCAAGUAGCGUGAAGGAUGACUGCCCUAUGGGUUGUAAACUUCUUUUAUAUGGGAAUAAAACGUUCCACGUGUGGGAUUUUGUAUGUACCAUAUGAAUAAGGAUCGGCUAACUCCGUGCCAGCAGCCGCGGUAAUACGGAGGAUCCGAGCGUUAUCCGGAUUUAUUGGGUUUAAAGGGAGCGUAGGUGGAUUGUUAAGUCAGUUGUGAAAGUUUGCGGCUCAACCGUAAAAUUGCAGUUGAAACUGGCAGUCUUGAGUACAGUAGAGGUGGGCGGAAUUCGUGGGGUAGCGGUGAAAUGCUUAGAUAUCACGAAGAACUCCGAUUGCGAAGGCAGUUCACUGGACUGCAACUGACACUGAGGCUCGAAAGUGUGGGUAUCAAACAGGAUUAGAUACCCCAGUAGUC